rnacentral:rRNA from 1 species
UACGUAGGGUGCAAGCGUUAAUCGGAAUUACUGGGCGUAAAGCGUGCGCAGGCGGUUUGGUAAGACAGAUGUGAAAUCCCCGGGCUCAACCUCGGGAAUUGCAUUUGUGACUGCCCGACUAGAGUGUGUCAGAGGGGGGUAGAAUUCCACGGUGUAGCAGUGUAAAUGCGUAGAGAAUGUGGAGGAAUACCGAUGGCGAAGGCAGCCCCCUGGGAUAACACUGACGCUCAUGCACGAAAGCGUGGGGAGCAAACAGG